rnacentral:lncRNA from 1 species
UUUUUUUUACUUUUUAAUUAAUUUUUUACUUUUAAAUUGGUUUGUUUAUGUUAAUUUUUUUUUCUAUUUAGUUAUAAGACUUUCAUGGCACGGAUCUCAUGUUUGACGGGUUAGCCCAGUUGAUUUAGAUUUUUUUUUCUUUUUCUUCAUUAGUUUUUUUCUCCGUAUAGGUUUUUUCUUUUUUGUUUUUCCCUUUUUAAUUAAUUUUUUUAAUUUAUUUUGUUGAUAUUAAAAUUCUUUCUAUUUAGUUAUUAGACUUUCAUGACACGGAUCUCAGGUUUGACGAGUUACCCAGUUAAUUUAGAUUUUU